rnacentral:lncRNA from 1 species
CUUUGUGGACGGGAAACUGAAGCAGGGUGGGGACGUCCCUUGCCAAGGCCUGUGGCUGGCCGCUGCUGCCUCCCUGGCUCUGUGUGCACCUGCCUCUGGGCGUGCACAGCGAGGUGUGGCUGGGCUGCCAUGUCCUGCCUCCCAUGACGGGGCCGCUGCAGCCUCUGCUGGGCUUCCGGUCCCUGUUUUGACCCAGACACCAGGCCAGGGCAGGCUCUGGGUGACUGGUGGCCUCACGGCCCCAGCUGCACUCUGGGAAUUCUCUUGGUGCCCAUAAGAGAGAGGGUGAGUGCCUUUUGGGACAGCAAGAUGGCAGAGGCCCUGAGGAGGGCUUGGGGGCUGCUCUGGAGUCUGCUUGUGCAAGUCAGGUUAGGGCUGAGGACGGGAUCAGUGGAGACCACCCUGUGCGUGAGGCCCUCGGGUCCUACCUGGCCCUGCAAAUAAUAAUAAUAGUGUUACUCUGAAACCUGGAGACCAGGGCACCUUGUAUUUCCCAUUCCAGGGUCACUCUUUCCAAUUGCCACUCCUGUGCUGUGGCGAGGACCCUUGUUCCUGCCCCUUUUUGUGCUCCAAGGUCAACGUCAUCACCUUGCCACCUUGUCUCACUGAGGAAUGGCCCUCCAAACGGGUGCUUUUUUCAAUCCCUAACACACAUAGGGAAUGCCAAUGUUUGUGCCAUCUACCAUAUAUGUGAAAGCAGAAAUUUCUGGGUUUCAAUUUUAGGUGUUUUGUUGUUGUUGUUAGAAGAAAAAAAAAUGCAUUAAGGAAAACUCACAGGAUAAACACUCCAAAGACAACUGGAUUUUUUUUACCUGUUUACUUUUUUAUUUAACCUGUUUAUUGAGGUACACUUGACAAAAUAAAUGGUCCAUAUUUAAAAUGACAAUUAUAGGUGUCCAGGAAACCUUCAAGGCAGUCAAGAUAACCAGCAUGUCCACCACCUCGAAGACCUCCUCCUGUCCCUUUGGAAUCCUUUAUCACCCUCCCGAGCAUUGCCCUCCCCUGCCAGCAUCUACUUGCUCCAUUAAUUACUUUGAAUUUUCUAUAAUUUGUAUUCCUGGCUGCAUGCAAUGGUGCACACCUGUAAUCCCAGUGGUGCUGGAGGCUGAGGCAGGAGGAUUGCAAGUUCAAAGCCAGCCUCCAUAACUUAGCAAAGCACUAAGCAACUCAGCGAGAC